rnacentral:rRNA from 1 species
CACACCGCCCGUCACACCAUGGGAGUUGGUUUGACCUGAAGACGGUGUGCUAACCCGCAAGGGAGGCAGCCGGCCACGGUCAGGUCAGCGACUGGGGUG